rnacentral:misc_RNA from 1 species
GAUGAAGAACGUAGCGAAAUGCGAUAAGUAAUGUGAAUUGCAGAAUUCAGCGAAUCAUCGAAUCUUUGAACGCACAUUGCGCCCGCCAGUAUUCUGGCGGGCAUGCCUGUUCGAGCGUCAUUACAACCCUCAGGCCCCCGGGCCUGGCGUUGGGGAUCGGCGGAGCCCCCCGUGGGCACACGCCGUCCCCCAAAUGCAGUGGCGGUCCCGCCGCAGCUUCCAUCGCGUAGUAGCUAACACCUCGCGACUGGAGAGCGGCGCGGCCACGCCGUAAAACACCCAACUCUUCUGAAGUUGACCUCGAAUCAGGUAGGAAUACCCGCUGAACUUAAGCAUAUCAAUAAGCGGAGGA